GGGAAGUGAAGGGAANGAGCGGCGGACGGGUGANUAACACGURAGGAACCUGNCUUAAGGAUUGGGAUAACUCCGAGAAAUCGGAGCUAAUACCGAAUARUUCUUCAGACCGCMNGGUCUGAUGAUGAAAGGCGCUUCGGCGUCACCUUGAGAUGGCCUUGCGGUGCAUUAGCUAGUUGGUGGGRUAAUGGCCCRCCAAGGCGACGAUGCAUAGCCSACCUGARAGGGUGAUCGGCCACACUGGGACUGAGACRCGGCCCAGACUCCUACGGGAGGCAGCAGUARGGAAUCUUCCACAAUGGACGAAAGUCUGAUGGAGCAACGCCGCGUGAGUGAUGAAKGUUUUCGGAUCGUAAAACUCUKUUGUAAGGGAAGAACAKGUGUGAGAGGUAAUGCUCAUGCUAUGACGGUACCUUACGAGAAAGCCACGGCUAACUACGUGCCAGCAGCCGCGGUAAUACGUAGGUGGCAAGCGUUGUCCGGAAUUAUUGGGCGUAAAGCGCGCGCAGGCGGCCUUUUAAGUCUGAUGUGAAAGCCCCCGGCUCAACCGGGGAGGGUCAUUGGAAACUGGAAGGCUUGAGUACAGAAGAGAAGAGUGGAAUUCCAUGUGUAGCGGUGAAAUGCGUAGAGAUGUGGAGGAACACCAGUGGCGAAGGCGACUCUUUGGUCUGUAACUGACGCUSAGGCGCGAAAGCGUGCGGAGCAAACAGGAUUAGAUACCCUGGUAGUCCACGCCGUAGACGAUGAGUGCUAGGUGUUGGGGGGUUUCCGCCCCUCAKUGCUGAAGCUAACGCAUUAAGCACUCCGCCUGAGGAGUACGGCCGCGAGGCUGAAACUCAAGGAAUUGACGGGGACCGNACAKCGGUGGAGCAUGUGGUUUAUUCGAAGCACGCGAAGAACUUACYACUCUUGACAUCUCUUGACUNUUGAGAGAUCAGUUUUCCUUCGGGACAAGGUGACAGGGGUGCAGGAUGUCGUCAC
rnacentral:rRNA from 1 species